rnacentral:lncRNA from 1 species
UCUUCAGCGCAGCUGCCCUACGAAAAAGGAGUCAGCCUGCUUCUUUAUGCGAGUCCCUGAUGAAAUUUCUCCUCACUGGGCAGGACCAGGGUCUCCAGUCACCCUUUGCUGGUGUUUUCAGCAGCCCCAUCCCCCCGUGGGUUGGAGCUCCCAGAGGGAAUCCUUCCAACUGAAUCAUGGAGAAAUUGAAUCCCUGAACACACCAAUAACAAGCUCCAAAAAUUAAUCAAUAAAUAGCCUAUCCACCCAAAAAGUAUAGGACUAGACGGAUUCAGAGUUAAAUUCUACCAGAGGUACAAAGAAAAGCUGGUAUAAUGCCUACUGAGACUAUUCCAAAAAAUUGAGUAUGAAGUUCUGCUUCCCAACUUAUUCUAUGAGGCCAGCAUCAUCUUCCUUUUUCCAGAAAAUUUUGUUACAUGCCAUAUGGGUGAACUAAAAUAAAUGUAUCAUUCAUUUUCAGACAUAUAAAUUUCCCUCUUUAAAAUGUUCAGUAUUUUCCUUCAGAAAUCACUAGUGUUGAGAAUUUUUAAGAGUAAUAUUUCUAUGGAAUUAGGACAUUAAUAACUGUAUUUACUUUAAGAAAUACUGCAUGUAUUUGAUAGAUAUCUGGGUCUAUAUUUCUCUAUGAUAGAACCUUGAUUGAAAAAUAAUUACCCUUCUAAAAUAUGCUGAAUGUACAAUAGAAGUAUAUGUCUUUUGAAUAGCUUUUUGGUUUCAGUUAACCAGCAUUCAACUGAGGUCUAAAAAUAGGUGAGUGUAUAACAACAUAAAAACAAUAGAGGAAUUCAAGAUGCUAUACAUUUAAAAUCUCAACUAAGGCUGAUCUAAUGGAAACAAAUGUCCUCAGUAUUUGCUUUUCUGAGAAGAAUUUUAUUUCUUCAUUGAUGAAGUUUAGUUUGGUGGGAUAUGAAAGUCUUCACUGGCAUUUCCUUUUUUAUGUUGCUGAAACUAAGCCCAAUCUCUUCUGGUUUGUAAAACUUCUACUGAGAGGUCCAUUGCCAGCCUGAUGGGGUUCUGUCUGUGUAUAAUAUAUAUGACCUGACUCUUCUUUCUGGCAGCCUUUAAGAUUUUUCCUUUUGUGCUGACCUUGGUGAAUCUAAUUUUGAGCCUUGGGGAUGGUUGACUUUUACAGCAUCUGGCCAGAAUGCUCUCUAUUUCUUGAAUUUGCAAGUCAAUUUCGCUAGCAAGAUUAAGAAAAUUUUCAUGGCCUAUGUCCUCAAGUGUAUUUUACAAGUCUUU